AGUGAACGCUGGCGGUAGGCCUAACACAUGCAAGUCGAACGGCAGCACAGUAGGAGCUUGCUCUUACGGGUGGCGAGUGGCGGACGGGUGAGGAAUACAUCGGAAUCUACUUUUUCGUGGGGGAUAACGUAGGGAAACUUACGCUAAUACCGCAUACGACCUACGGGUGAAAGCAGGGGAUCUUCGGACCUUGCGCGAUUGAAUGAGCCGAUGUCGGAUUAGCUAGUUGGCGGGGUAAAGGCCCACCAAGGCGACGAUCCGUAGCUGGUCUGAGAGGAUGAUCAGCCACACUGGAACUGAGACACGGUCCAGACUCCUACGGGAGGCAGCAGUGGGGAAUAUUGGACAAUGGGCGCAAGCCUGAUCCAGUCAUACCGCGUGGGUGAAGAAGGCCUUCGGGUUGUAAAGCCCUUUUGUUGGGAAAGAAAAGCAGCAGGUUAAUACCCCGCUGUUCUGACGGUACCCAAAGAAUAAGCACCGGCUAACUUCGUG
rnacentral:rRNA from 1 species